rnacentral:rRNA from 1 species
CCUGUAAUUGGAAUGAGUACAAUUUAAACCUCUUAACGAGGAACAAUUGGAGGGCAAGUCUGGUGCCAGCAGCCGCGGUAAUUCCAGCUCCAAUAGCGUAUAUUAAAGUUGUUGUGGUUAAAAAGCUCGUAGUCGAACCUCGAGCCUGGCCGGCCGGUCCGCCUCACCGCGUGCACUGGUCUGGCCGGGCUCUUCCCUCUGCGGAACCGCAUGUCCUUCACUGGGCGUGUCGGGGAGGCAGGACUUUUACUUUGAAAAAAUUAGAGUGCUCAAGGCAGGCCAAUGCUCGAAUACAUUAGCAUGGAAUAAUAGAAUAGGACGUUGGUUCUAUUUUGUUGGUUUCUAGGACCGCCGUAAUGAUCAAUAGGGACGGUCGGGGGCAUCAGUAUUCAGCCGUCAGAGGUGAAAUUCUUGGACCGGCUGAAGACUAACUACUGCGAAAGCAUUUGCCAAGGACGUUUUCGCUGAUCAGGAACGAAAGUUAGGGGAUCGAAGACGAUCAGAUACCGUCGUAGUCUUAACCAUAAACUAUGCCGACUAGGGAUCGGGCGGCGUUCUUUCUAGACCCGCUCGGCACCUUUCGAGAAAUCAAAGUGCUUGGGCUCCAGGGGGAGUAUGGCGGCAACGCUGA